CUGGUCAUCACAUCGACAAAAUUCACCUGCUGUUCGCAGAUGAUACGUGUAAUGCGGUCACGGUCUUCGUGGGUCAGUAAGUUGAUGUAAUUGUGCGCCAGUUCGUUACUCAGAAUGUUGGUUCCGUCGCUGAUGCGCAGAAUACAGAUGCCCACCGGCGCCGAGGCGACAAUUUUGCGGUUAAACUGCUCAUGUUCUUCCAGCCGGAAGGCGUUAUCCUCUGCCGGCAGGAACAUUUUUCGCUCAAACAGCCAGGCCAGCGUAAACAGCACAAUGGCGGACAGCAAGUUCAGCAGUACCGCAUUGAGAAUCAACAUCUUGAAACGCUCGACCACCGUCUUCACCGGCACCGCAUACACGAUGCUGAGCGAUGACGGCGGCAACGCCUUUUUCAUUAUCAGGUCGUGGUAAUUAUCGACAUAACCAAAGUAGGCCUGAUCGGGCGGAUAGCUGUCGGGCGCUUGCGCAUUGCGCUCAC
rnacentral:ncRNA from 1 species